UCUUAGUCAGGUGAUACUUUCCAAAGGCUU
rnacentral:piRNA from 1 species